rnacentral:rRNA from 1 species
UGCGUAGGUGGUUUCUUAAGUCAGAGGUGAAAGGCUACGGCUCAACCGUAGUAAGCCUUUGAAACUGGGAAACCUGAGUGCAGGAGAGGAGAGUGGAAUUCCUAUGUAGCGGCGAAAUGCGUAGAUAUUAGGAGGAACACCAGUUGCGAAGGCGGCUCUCUGGACUGUAACUGACACUGAGGCACGAAAGCGUGGGGAGCAAACA